AGAGUUUGAUCAUGGCUCAGGUACGAACGCUGGCGGCGCGCCUAACACAUGCAAGUCGAACGAGAGAUGAGGAGCUUGCUCUUCAAAUCGAGUGGCGAACGGGUGAGUAACGCGUGAGGAACCUGCCUCAAAGAGGGGGACAACAGUUGGAAACGACUGCUAAUACCGCAUAAGCCCACGGGUCGGCAUCGACCUGAGGGAAAAGGAGCAAUCCGCUUUGAGAUGGCCUCGCGUCCGAUUAGCUAGUUGGUGAGGUAACGGCCCACCAAGGCGACGAUCGGUAGCCGGACUGAGAGGUUGAACGGCCACAUUGGGACUGAGACACGGCCCAGACUCCUACGGGAGGCAGCA
rnacentral:rRNA from 1 species